rnacentral:rRNA from 1 species
GACGAACGCUGGCGGCGUGCUUAACACAUGCAAGUCGAACGGAAAGGCCCUGCUUUUGUGGGGUGCUCGAGUGGCGAACGGGUGAGUAACACGUGAGUAACCUGCCCUUGACUUUGGGAUAGCUUCAGGAAACUGGGGCUAAUACCGGAUAGGAGCUCCUGCUGCAUGGUGGGGGUUGGAAAGUUUCGGCGGUUGGGGAUGGGCUCGCGGCUUAUCAGCUUGUUGGUGGGGUAGUGGCUUACCAAGGCUUUGACGGGUAGCCGGCCUGAGAGGGUGACCGGCCACAUUGGGACUGAGAUACGGCCCAGACUCCUACGGGAGGCAGCAGUGGGGAAUAUUGCACAAUGGGCGGAAGCCUGAUGCAGCAACGCCGCGUGCGGGAUGACGGCCUUCGGGUUGUAAACCGCUUUCGCCUGUGACGAAGCGUGAGUGACGGUAAUGGGUAAAGAAGCACCGGCUAACUACGUG